rnacentral:rRNA from 11 species
AUAGCCUUGGCCGACAGGCCCGGGUAAUCUUUGAAAUUUCAUCGUGAUGGGGAUAGAUCAUUGCAAUUGUUGGUCUUCAACGAGGAAUUCCUAGUAAGCGCGAGUCAUCAGCUCGUGCUGAUUACGUCCCUGCCCUUUGUACACACCGCCCGUCGCUACUACCGAUUGAAUGGCUUAGUGAGCCUUUGGGAUUGGCA